ensembl:lincRNA
GGCGCAGGAAGCGGGAAACCCAAGGCGAAGCCAAAGCGCUUCCCGCGGACCCGGCUCCGGAAGUUCCGGGGUCCGUCGCGCCAGCUCCGCGCAUGCGCAGGUCUGCGCUUUGGGUGUGGCGGUGCGCGCCCGGCCCUCGGUCUCUGGAGAAGAGGGCGGGCGGGGAGAGGUCAUGUGGCCGGGAUUGCGGCAUUUUGGGCCCAAUCCGAGUCGUUGUGGGAAAAGCCCUUGUGGAGCAAUUCGGGUAGCCCCGGUCCUGGCGGAGCCCUGACUCGGUGUGUCCGUUUCUGACUUCUCGGUUCUGUUCUGGACGCGGAGGACCCGGUGGUUCUCGCUCGGUGUCCCCGGAGUGGAACCGGAGGCGCCCGUUAGUUCCUUCAGGACCGAGGGGCCCGCUCGGUCUCAGGUCCACCUCGGUCUCCGCGGAACGGUCCCGGAGUCGCGGGAGAGCGCCCCGUGGUAAAACAGCACCCAGAAAAAGAGCCUGCACCCAUCUCGGGGUGAGGCUGGGGCAGUGCACGGAGAGUCGAGAUUCUUCUACAGCCCCACCGACUGGUCACAGCUCCCAGCAGGAACGACGUCAAGCACUACACCGCCCUAAGAAAUGCCGGCGCCACCCCGCCUGGACCCCGCGGCUGGGGAGGCUGAGGCCAGAGGAUUCCCAAGUUCAAAGCCAGCCUCAGCAGUUUAUCAGUGCACUAAGCAACUCAAUGAGACCCUGUCUCUAAAUAAAAUACAAAAAAGGGCUGGGGACGUGGCUCACUGGUAGAGUGCUUGUCUCGCACUGCGAGGCACUGGUUUGGAUCCUCAGCACCACAUAAAAAUAAAUUAGAAAACAAAGAUUGUGUCCAUCUGCAACUAAAAAAAAAAAAAAUUAAAGGUGGGGUGCUGGGAUGUACUUCAGUAGUUAAGCGCCCCUGGUUUCAAUCCCUGGUACCAUUCUUUUUUUUAAUGGGAAAAAAAAAAGGUGAAAAAUCCUUCUGGGAGAAAUUCUCUUCACAUUGGAGAACCAAUUCUGGGGCUGCAGAAUAAGCCUAAUCAGGGAAAGUCCCAGUGAAGGGCGGAGAUCAUGGACUUCAUCCUGAAAGAUGGUGUAGUUGAAGUAUUUAAUAGGAGAAUCAGAGAAAAUAGGCAAGUGUUUAUUGAAUGUAAUUUAUUUAUUUAUUUUUGCAUGCAUGUUAUUGAGGAUUGAACCCAGGAAUGGGAUUACAGGCCUGCCCAGGGAGCCUGGCUCAUCACUUCGUGAAGUUAGAAUAGAUUGUUUUCAUCAGUGUUGUGUGUAGCAUGUAUCAUUAUUAAGCAUUAGUGUGAAUGUGUAAGUAGCCAAAUUCAAAUGAUGCCUCAUAAAAUGUUAAAUUACUUAUAAAUACAAAUGAAAUUCAAAGUCAUACCUACUUCUGAGUCUUUCUUAAUCAGGGUUAUUAUGAAAUAAUCUUACUUCAGGGUUUUACCAAAGUAUCUACACUCGUAUGACAUAAAACUACUUUAUCAAUAUGUAGUCCCCCCCCACACCCCUGCCAUUAUGUAGUCUUUUAAAAGAUGCUCCUGAGAUCAAUUCAUUUUGUAAUUUCCACUUGCGGUAUAAUCGUUUGUCCUUCCAGUUAAGACUGGCUGUUCAAAUAGACUAAUAAACCCAAAUAACUGUCUCAAGGUAAGGUAGGGUUCUCAGAUCUUAGGCU